rnacentral:lncRNA from 1 species
GCAGGUUCAGCCAAACCCAGUCAUUUUUGCUUAAACGUUGUAUUUAUAUUAGGAAAUUCAUAAAAUAUAUAUAAAUAUUUAAUUGCAAACCCAAUAACUAAGACGACCUAUGGGUUUUUCGGCAAAUUCAGAACCCAUAAACUUCAAAUUGUGGCUUCGCCCCUGACUACAAAGAUGAAUUCAUCAUACAACAAGUAUUCUAUUUAAUUGUGACAAAAGGUCGGAAAAUACUGAAUAAGCUGAACAAAUGAGCUAACCUUGAUUGAUUACCAAUACCCAAAACGCCAUUUCCCUCUUCACCAUUCUCCUCAUUAUCAUUUUCUCCUUGAGAAUUUCUCCUUCUAUAUUCCAACCAAACCAGCACCACAUGCACCACGCAUUGCAAAGCAUACCCACAAACCCAAAUCCUAAUCGGAACACUAUCAUUUUCUCCUUGAGAAUUUCUCCUUUUAUAUUCCAGCCAAACCAGCACCACAUGCACCACGCACUGCAAAGCAUAUCCACAAACCCAAAUCCUAAUUGGAACAUUAGGUGACUCAUCAAACGUGCAGGACAA